rnacentral:rRNA from 1 species
CCCUUAGAUGUCCUGGGCCGCACGCGCGCUACACUGAUGCAUGCAACGAGUUUAUAACCUUGGCCUGAAAGGUCUGGGUAAUCUUUUGAACGUGCAUCGUAAUAGGGAUAGAUUAUUGCAAUUGUUAAUCUUGAACGAGGAAUUCCUAGUAAACGCGAGUCAUCAGCUCGCAUUGAUUACGUCCCUGCCCUUUGUACACACCGCCCGUCGCACCUACCGAUUGAAUGGUUCGGUGAAGAUCUCGGACUUCGAUAUUUAUUCUUUAUUGAGUUUAUAUUGUGGGAAGUUAUCUAAACCUCAUCAUUUAGAGGAAGGUGAAGUCGUAACA